AGGAGCGUUCGGCCCGUCGCAAGCGCGUCAGACGCAUCGGCGAUCGGACCUCGUGCCGGUUCCGAUCUCUGGCGACUGUUGGCGGCGGAGCUCUCGAACAGACCCCUGACCGAUCUGCGACGCUAUAGCUUUGGGUACUUUCAGGACCCGUCUUGAAACACGGACCAAGGAGUCUAGCAUGUGCGCGAGUCAUUGGGACAAACUAGACCCAAAGGCGCAAUGAAAGUGAAGGUCCGCCUCGCGCGGACUGGGGGAGGACGGGCGGUUCGCCCUCAAAAGCGGCCGCCCCGCACUCCCGGGGCGUCUCGUUCUCAUCGCGAGGAGAGGCGCACCGAGAGCGUACACGCUGGGACCCGAAAGAUGGUGACCUAUGCCUGGUCAGGACGAAGUCAGGGGAAACCCUGAUGGAGGUCCGUAGCGAUUCUGACGUGCAAAUCGAUCGUAAGAACG
rnacentral:rRNA from 1 species